GUCUAGGGUAGCCUAGUGGACAUGGCAUCUGCCCGGUAAGCGGAACAAUGUGGGUUCGAUUCCCAUCCCUGGACA